CUGAGUCCUUCAAUGCGAAAAAGCGCUCGCAAUAUUAUCAAGAAAAUCUGGGCCGGAAGGUCGAGGAAUUGAGGCUUUCCUCGAAAAUGUCCCAGGCGGAUUUGGCCAACGAAGCCGAAACCCGUCGGGCCCNCCCUGAUCAACAAGAUCGAGCGAGGAGAAGCAAACCCGACGCUCGACACGAUCGUAAGCAUGGCAAUGGCGCUGGGCGUCAACCCAGCCGAACUCUUUGACCAACCCCGAU
rnacentral:misc_RNA from 1 species